AACGAACGCUGGCGGCAGGCUUAACACAUGCAAGUCGAACGCUCCGCAAGGGGAGUGGCGCACGGGUGCAAAACGCGUGGGGAUCUGCCCUUCAGUUCGGAACAACAUCGGGAAACUGAUGCUAAUACCGGAUACACUAACAGAUCAUGAUAGUUUGUUAGGAAAGAUUUAUCGCUGAAGGAUGAACCCGCGUCUGAUUAGCUAGUUGGUGAGGUAACGGCUCACCAAGGCGACGAUCAGUAGCUGGUCUGAGAGGAUGAUCAGCCACACUGGAACUGAGACACGGUCCAGACUCCUACGGGAGGCAGCAGUGGGGAAUAUUGGACAAUGGGGGAAACCCUGAUCCAGCCAUGCCGCGUGAGUGAUGAAGGCCUUCGGGUUGUAAAGCUCUUUUGGGUGGGACGAUAAUGACGGUACCACCAGAAUAAGCUCCGGCUAACUUCGCGCCAGCCGCCGCCGUAA
rnacentral:rRNA from 1 species